GGGGGGGCCCGCACAAGCGGGGGGAGCAUGUGGUUUUAAUUUGGAAGCAACGCGAAAGAACCUUUCCCAGGUCUUGACAUCCUUCGAACAACUCUAGAGAUAGAGCGCUCCCCCUUCGGGGGACAGGAGUGACAGGUGGUGCAUGGUUGUCGUCAGCUCGUGUCGUGAGAUGUUGGGUUAAGUCCCGCAACGAGCGCAACCCUUGAUCUUAGUCGCCAGCAUUUAGUUGGGCACUCUAAGGUGACUGCCGGUGACAAACCGGAGGAAGGUGGGGAUGACGUCAAAUCAUCAUGCCCCUUAUGACCUGGGCUACACACGUGCUACAAUGGAUGGUACAAAGGGCUGCAAGACCGCGAGGUCAAGCCAAUCCCAUAAAACCAUUCUCAGUUCGGAUUGUAGGCUGCAACUCGCCUACAUGAAGCUGGAAUCGCUAGUAAUCGCGGAUCAGCAUGCCGCGGUGAAUACGUUCCCGGGCCUUGUACACACCGCCCGUCACACCACGAGAGUUUGUAACACCUGAAGUCGGUGGAGUAACCGUAGGGACCCUAGCCACCCCAAAGGGCAGCC
rnacentral:rRNA from 2 species